GAUGAAGAACGUAGCGAAAUGCGAUACGUAAUGUGAAUUGCAGAAUUCAGUGAAUCAUCGAAUCUUUGAACGCACAUUGCGCCCCUUGGUAUUCCGAGGGGCAUGCCUGUUCGAGCGUCAUUAUAACCCCUCAAGCUCAGCUUGGUGUUGGGGCCUGCUGCACUGGCAGCCCUUAAAAUCAGUGGCGGCGCCAUCUGGCUCUAAGCGUAGUAAUUCUUCUCGCUAUGGAGUCCUGGUGGAUGCUUGCCAUCAACCCCCAAUUUUUCUAUGGUUGACCUCGGAUCAGGUAGGGAUACCCGCUGAACUUAAGCAUAUCAAUAAGCGGAGGA
rnacentral:misc_RNA from 1 species